UACCCGUGAAACUGCGAAUGGCUCAUUAAAUCAGUUAUCGUUUAUUUGAUAAUACCUUACUACUUGGAUAACCGUGGUAAUUCUAGAGCUAAUACAUGCUAAAAAUCCCGACUUCGGAAGGGAUGUGUUUAUUAGAUAAAAAACCAAUGCCCUUCGGGGCUUCUUGGUGAUUCAUGAUAACUUUACGGAUCGCAUAGCCUUGCGCUGGCGACGGUUCAUUCAAAUUUCUGCCCUAUCAACUUUCGAUGGUAAGGUAUUGGCUUACCAUGGUUUCAACGGGUAACGGGGAAUUAGGGUUCGAUUCCGGAGAGGGAGCCUGAGAAACGGCUACCACAUCCAAGGAAGGCAGCAGGCGCGCAAAUUACCCAAUCCCGACACGGGGAGGUAGUGACAAUAAAUACUGAUACAGGGCUCUUUUGGGUCUUGUAAUUGGAAUGAGUACAAUUUAAACCUCUUAACGAGGAACAAUUGGAGGGCAAGUCUGGUGCCAGCAGCCGCGGUAAUUCCAGCUCCAAUAGCGUAUAUUAAAGUUGUUGCAGUUAAAAAGCUCGUAGUUGAAACUUGGGCCUGGCUGGCGGGUCCGCCUCACCGCGUGCACUCGUCCGGCCGGGCCUUCCUUCUGAAGAACCUCAUGCCCUUCACUGGGCGUGUUGGGGAAUCAGGACUUUUACUUUGAAAAAAUUAGAGUGUUCAAAGCAGGCCUUUGCUCGAAUACGUUAGCAUGGAAUAAUAAAAUAGGGCGUGCGUUUCUAUUUUGUUGGUUUCUAGAGACGCCGCAAUGAUUAACAGGAACAGUCGGGGGCAUCAGUAUUCAGUUGUCAGAGGUGAAAUUCUUGGAUUUACUGAAGACUAACUACUGCGAAAGCAUUUGCCAAGGAUGUUUUCAUUAAUCAGUGAACGAAAGUCAGGGGAUCGAAGACGAUCAGAUACCGUCGUAGUCUUGACCGUAAACUAUGCCGACUAGGGGAUCGGGCGA
rnacentral:rRNA from 1 species